AGCGAACGCUGGCGGCAGGCUUAACACAUGCAAGUCGAGCGGGCACUUCGGUGUCAGCGGCAGACGGGUGAGUAACACGUGGGAACGUACCCUUUGGUUCGGAAUAACGCUGGGAAACUAGCGCUAAUACCGGAUACGCCCUUUUGGGGAAAGGCUUGCUGCCGAAGGAUCGGCCCGCGUCUGAUUAGCUAGUUGGUGGGGUAAUGGCCUACCAAGGCGACGAUCAGUAGCUGGUCUGAGAGGAUGAUCAGCCACACUGGGACUGAGACACGGCCCAGACUCCUACGGGAGGCAGCAGUGGGGAAUAUUGGACAAUGGGCGCAAGCCUGAUCCAGCCAUGCCGCGUGAGUGAUGAAGGCCUUAGGGUUGUAAAGCUCUUUUGACCGGGACGAUAAUGACGGUACCGGAAGAAUAAGCCCCGGCUAACUUCGUG
rnacentral:rRNA from 1 species